rnacentral:rRNA from 2 species
GCGAUAAGCGCCGGUAAGGUGAUAUGAACCGUUAUAACCGGCGAUACCCGAAUGGGGAAACCCAGUGUGACUCGUCACACUAUCAUUAACUGAAUCCAUAGGUUAAUGAGGCGAACCGGGGGAACUGAAACAUCUAAGUACCCCGAGGAAAAGAAAUCAACCGAGAUUCCCCCAGUAGCGGCGAGCGAACGGGGAGGAGCCCAGAGCCUGAAUCAGCAUGUGUGUUAGUGGAAGCGUCUGGAAAGGCGCGCGAUACAGGGUGACAGCCCCGUACACAAAAGCGCAUGUGCUGUGAGCUCGAUGAGUAGGGCGGGACACGUGGUAUCCUGUCUGAAUAUGGGGGGACCAUCCUCCAAGGCUAAAUACUCCUGACUGACCGAUAGUGAACCAGUACCGUGAGGGAAAGGCGAAAAGAACCCCGGCGAGGGGAGUGAAAAAGAACCUGAAACCGUGUACGUACAAGCAGUGGGAGCACCCUUUGGGUGUGACUGCGUACCUUUUGUAUAAUGGGUCAGCGACUUAUAUUCUGUAGCAAGGUUAACCGAAUAGGGGAGCCGGAGGGAAACCGAGUCUUAACCGGGCGUUAAGUUGCAGGGUAUAGACCCGAAACCCGGUGAUCUAGCCAUGGGCAGGUUGAAGGUUGGGUAACACUAACUGGAGGACCGAACCGACUAAUGUUGAAAAAUUAGCGGAUGACCUGUGGCUGGGGGUGAAAGGCCAAUCAAACCGGGAGAUAGCUGGUUCUCCCCGAAAGCUAUUUAGGUAGCGCCUCGUGAAUUCAUCUCCGGGGGUAGAGCACUGUUUCGGCUAGGGGGCCAUCCCGGCUUACCAACCCGAUGCAAACUGCGAAUACCGGAGAAUGUUAUCACGGGAGACACACGGCGGGUGCUAACGUCCGUCGUGAAGAGGGAAACAACCCAGACCGCCAGCUAAGGUCCCAAAGUCAUGGUUAAGUGGGAAACGAUGUGGGAAGGCCCAGACAGCCAGGAUGUUGGCUUAGAAGCAGCCAUCAUUUAAAGAAAGCGUAAUAGCUCACUGGUCGAGUCGGCCUGCGCGGAAGAUGUAACGGGGCUAAACCAUGCACCGAAGCUGCGGCAGCGACACUGUGUGUUGUUGGGUAGGGGAGCGUUCUGUAAGCCUGUGAAGGUGUGUCGUGAGGCAUGCUGGAGGUAUCAGAAGUGCGAAUGCUGACAUAAGUAACGAUAAAGCGGGUGAAAAGCCCGCUCGCCGGAAGACCAAGGGUUCCUGUCCAACGUUAAUCGGGGCAGGGUGAGUCGACCCCUAAGGCGAGGCCGAAAGGCGUAGUCGAUGGGAAACGGGUUAAUAUUCCCGUACUUGGUGUUACUGCGAAGGGGGGACGGAGAAGGCUAUGUUGGCCGGGCGACGGUUGUCCCGGUUUAAGCGUGUAGGUGUGUGUUCCAGGUAAAUCCGGUUCACUUUAACACUGAGGCGUGACGACGAGGCACUACGGUGCUGAAGCAACAAAUGCCCUGCUUCCAGGAAAAGCCUCUAAGCAUCAGGUAACAUCAAAUCGUACCCCAAACCGACACAGGUGGUCAGGUAGAGAAUACCAAGGCGCUUGAGAGAACUCGGGUGAAGGAACUAGGCAAAAUGGUGCCGUAACUUCGGGAGAAGGCACGCUGACACGUAGGUGAAGUGAUUUACUCAUGGAGCUGAAGUCAGUCGAAGAUACCAGCUGGCUGCAACUGUUUAUUAAAAACACAGCACUGUGCAAACACGAAAGUGGACGUAUACGGUGUGACGCCUGCCCGGUGCCGGAAGGUUAAUUGAUGGGGUCAGCGCAAGCGAAGCUCCUGAUCGAAGCCCCGGUAAACGGCGGCCGUAACUAUAACGGUCCUAAGGUAGCGAAAUUCCUUGUCGGGUAAGUUCCGACCUGCACGAAUGGCGUAAUGAUGGCCAGGCUGUCUCCACCCGAGACUCAGUGAAAUUGAACUCGCUGUGAAGAUGCAGUGUACCCGCGGCAAGACGGAAAGACCCCGUGAACCUUUACUAUAGCUUGACACUGAACAUUGAGCCUUGAUGUGUAGGAUAGGUGGGAGGCUUUGAAGUGUGGACGCCAGUCUGCAUGGAGCCGACCUUGAAAUACCACCCUUUAAUGUUUGAUGUUCUAACGUGGACCCGUUACCCGGGUUGCGGACAGUGUCUGGUGGGUAGUUUGACUGGGGCGGUCUCCUCCUAAAGAGUAACGGAGGAGCACGAAGGUUGGCUAAUCCUGGUCGGACAUCAGGAGGUUAGUGCAAUGGCAUAAGCCAGCUUGACUGCGAGCGUGACGGCGCGAGCAGGUGCGAAAGCAGGUCAUAGUGAUCCGGUGGUUCUGAAUGGAAGGGCCAUCGCUCAACGGAUAAAAGGUACUCCGGGGAUAACAGGCUGAUACCGCCCAAGAGUUCAUAUCGACGGCGGUGUUUGGCACCUCGAUGUCGGCUCAUCACAUCCUGGGGCUGAAGUAGGUCCCAAGGGUAUGGCUGUUCGCCAUUUAAAGUGGUACGCGAGCUGGGUUUAGAACGUCGUGAGACAGUUCGGUCCCUAUCUGCCGUGGGCGCUGGAGAACUGAGGGGGGCUGCUCCUAGUACGAGAGGACCGGAGUGGACGCAUCACUGGUGUUCGGGUUGUCAUGCCAAUGGCACUGCCCGGUAGCUAAAUGCGGAAGAGAUAAGUGCUGAAAGCAUCUAAGCACGAAACUUGCCCCGA